AACACUCAAUGAGUAUAUACCACGUGCCAGCCUUGGGGUGCGGGAGAGCUGGUGGAACUCAAAGUGAAUAAACUAGAUCAUCCGAGAUGUGACACGGGUAUACACGAUCAAAGAAUAAGGGGCAUCACUUUAUUGUUCCUGCUGAUGUGAUACUGUAAUUAUCCUACUCAUGGGCUUAAUAAAGGGCCAGCAAUUGAGAGAAUUAUGGCGACCCAUCAUCACUUGUUACAUCAAGUCUGUAGAUAAAGAUGAAUGUGAAAUCGGAGCCACCCAGGUCCCCUGCUCCACUUCUGCAUCUGGGCUGCUGAUGGUUCUUCCCUGAAUUCAAAGUGAGGCUUCGGGGGUCCAUAGCCACCUGCUCCACAAGUUAAACUGCCAUGAGUUUUUGUGUCAUAACUAGAUAUUUAUAUGGUUCUCCCGGGAAAGGUAAGUUUUUCUGAAACACUGAGUCAUCCAUCUACUGGAUACAGAUAAGCCAUGGAUGCAUCAGAAUGAAGAUGUUUUUUGAAGUGUUGGCAAUGUCUGAUCUCAGCAUCUGUGUUAAUGCAGGAUGGGAAAUAGAAAGCACCGAUGCUUCCUUUUAUGGACCUGGAACUCUGCUUAGCUACAGAAUGCCAGCUGUCCCCAAGGUCCAAUUGCUUACUGCUCAAGAACAGUCGAUGUAUAAAAUAGAGCACACACUGGCAGAGAAGCCCUGGGCAACCGUGCAGAUUCAAGAAUAGUUGGGACUGAUGCCUCUCAGAUGAAAAUGCUUCCCUUUGUUAUAAUUUCUAAGCAUUUUCUCAUAGAAUCAAAAUUUUGUUUUGUUUUAAGAAGAUUCUUUUUUUUAAAAUUCCACCCAAGGAUAUGUUUUUUAAUUGAAGAGAG